rnacentral:rRNA from 1 species
UGGCGGCACUAGCGCGGUGGUCCCACCUGACCCCAUGCCGAACUCAGGAAGUGAAACGCCGUAGCGCCGAUGGUAGUGUGGGGUCUCCCCAUGCGAGAGUAGGGAACUGCCAGGCA